rfam:Lupinus angustifolius cultivar Tanjil contig_4178, whole genome shotgun sequence.
AGGUGCAAUCAUACCAUCACUAAUGCACCGGAUCUUAUAUGAACUAUGCACUUAAGUGUGUUCAGGAAGAGUAGUAGUAGGAUGGGUGACCUCCUGGGAAGUCUUUGUGUUGCACCUC